UACGGAGGGUGCGAGCGUUGUCCGGAAUCAUUGGGCGUAAAGGGCGCGUAGGUGGCCUGGUCAGCGUGCGGUGAAAGCUCGGGGCUCAACCCCGAGUCGGCCGUGCGAACUGCUGGGCUCGAGCACUGUAGAGGCAGGCGGAAUUCCGGGUGUAGCGGUGGAAUGCGUAGAGAUCCGGAAGAACACCGGUGGCGAAGGCGGCCUGCUGGGCAGUAACUGACACUGAGGCGCGACAGCGUGGGGAGCAAACAGG
rnacentral:rRNA from 1 species